AUUUGGACUAUAACUUGACUCAAAGCACUUAAAAACACAAACUAAAUUGAUUUCUAACUAAUUUAAUACUUUAAAAUAAAUGGGGGAUUGAUUUUGACGAAAUUGAAUUAAAACUAAACAAAUUGCAAAUCAAAGCAAACUAAAACAGAUUUUGAUUAAAUAGAAUGGUGAGAAACUAGUUAGAGGGUUCCUUAUCCACACAUGAACAUAUGCAUAUAAUUUGAUUCCCAGUUAUGACUUCAACAAACGAUGAAUGACAAUGUUCCAAGUUAAUUAGAUCCGCUUAAAUUAACUCUUAGAUUUCCCUAGAUUCAUUGGAUUGAAUGGAAUACGCAUUACAACCAAAUUAUUCCUCAUCAAAGUCCCUAACUAUGGAAUACGCAUGAUAGAGACAUUCAACAAAGAUCAUUAAGUUCAACGGAAAUCAUAAACAUUGACUAGGCAUUCAUAACUAUGGAAUACGCAUGUUAAUCCAACCUAGGGUUUAUUUAACAUAAUCGUGACUAGCGAUCUUUACUACUCAUGAAUAUAAGUUUAUAACGAUUAGGUGAAAUUCCCUUAUAUCCUAGCAUCAAGUUUAGGCAUGCAAAUUAAGUGUCGACCCUCAACCCACAUACAUAAACAAGUUCUUAAUCAAAACAGAAAAGUAAACCACAUCUAAAGUUCAUGAAUUCAUAACUGGAGUAAAUCAAAUCAUAACCAACAUAUGUCCAUGGCUUCAAAUUCACCUCUAACUAAAAAGAAAUUAGUUCCACAUGUUUAACAUAAUUGGAAAGCAAGUUAAAUUAAACAUGAAAACAGAAACAAGAAAAGAAAGAACUCCAAACACUCCACUAAUGGCAGAUUGCAUGUGCAAGGUGUCUUCCUCCUUUGGAUUGCAUGGCACUACUUCUUUCUCCUCCAAUGGUGGCUGCAUAAGGUGGUGAUGGUGGUGGGAAGGCACGGUUGUGGUGGAGGAAUGGAUGGGAAAGAGUUUGUGGUGGAGGAAUGGAUGGGAAGGAGUUUGGAUAUUUAGGGAGAGGCAAGGCAAGGCUUGGAGAAUGGUUAAUUUCUGGAUGUUUUCAAUAAGGUUGCUGCCAUGGGUAUUUAUAGGGAGAGGAUGGACUUGUUUAAUUCAAUUUUCUGGUGGGAAAACAAUCAAGAAUGCACAGCAAGAAGUGGAUGUUAGGU
rnacentral:lncRNA from 1 species